rnacentral:rRNA from 1 species
CGGGUGAGUAACACGUGGGCAAUCUGCCCUUCACUCUGGGACAAGCCCUGGAAACGGGGUCUAAUACCGGAUAACACUCUGUCCCGCAUGGGACGGGGUUAAAAGCUCCGGCGGUGAAGGAUGAGCCCGCGGCCUAUCAGCUAGUUGGUGGGGUAAUGGCCUACCAAGGCGACGACGGGUAGCCGGCCUGAGAGGGCGACCGGCCACACUGGGACUGAGACACGGCCCAGACUCCUACGGGAGGCAGCAGUGGGGAAUAUUGCACAAUGGGCGAAAGCCUGAUGCAGCGACGCCGCGUGAGGGAUGACGGCCUUCGGGUUGUAAACCUCUUUCAGCAGGGAAGAAGCGAAAGUGACGGUACCUGCAGAAGAAGCACCGGCUAACUACGUGCCAGCAGCCGCGGUAAUACGUAGGGUGCGAGCGUUGUCCGGAAUUAUUGGGCGUAAAGAGCUCGUAGGCGGCUUGUCACGUCGGAUGUGAAAGCCCGGGGCUUAACCCCGGGUCUGCAUUCGAUACGGGCUAGCUAGAGUGUGGUAGGGGAGAUCGGAAUUCCUGGUGUAGCGGUGAAAUGCGCAGAUAUCAGGAGGAACACCGGUGGCGAAGGCGGAUCUCUGGGCCAUUACUGACGCUGAGGAGCGAAAGCGUGGGGAGCGAACAGGAUUAGAUACCCUGGUAGUCCACGCCGUAAACGUUGGGAACUAGGUGUUGGCGACAUUCCACGUCGUCGGUGCCGCAGCUAACGCAUUAAGUUCCCCGCCUGGGGAGUACGGCCGCAAGGCU